UACAUAGGUCCCAAGCGUUGUUCGGAUUUAUUGGGCGUAAAGGGUGCGUAGGCGGCAGUGUAAGUUGGACGUGAAAUCCUGGGGCUCAACCUCAGAAUUGCGUUCAAUACUGCAUUGCUAGAGCGCUGUAGAGGAGAUUGGAAUUUACGGUGUAGCAGUGAGAUGCGUAGAUAUCGUAAGGAAGACCAGUGGCGAAAGCGAAUCUCUGGGCAGCAGCCGACGCUGAGGCACGAAGGCCAGGGGAGCAAACGGG
rnacentral:rRNA from 1 species